rnacentral:rRNA from 1 species
GAUGAACGCUGGCGGCGUGCCUAAUACAUGCAAGUCGAGCGAACAGACGAGAGUGCUUGCACUCUCUGAUGUUAGCGGCGAACGGGUGAGUAACACGUGGGUAACCUACCUAUAAGACUGGGAUAACUUCGGGAAACCGGAGCUAAUACCGGAUAAUAUUUAGCUUCGCAUGAAGCAAUGGUGAAAGACGGUUCUGCUGUCACUUAUAGAUGGACCCGCGGUGGAUUAGCUAGUUGGUGAGGUAACGGCUCACCAAGGCAACGAUACAUAGCCGACCUGAGAGGGUGAUCGGCCACACUGGGACUGAGACACGGCCCAGACUCCUACGGGAGGCAGCAGUAGGGAAUCUUCCGCAAUGGACGAAAGUCUGACGGAGCAACGCCGCGUGAGUGAAGAAGGUUUUCGGAUCGUAAAACUCUGUUGUAAGGGAAGAACAAGUACGUUAGUAACUGAACGUACCUUGACGGUACCUUACCAGAAAGCCACGGCUAACUACGUGCCAGCCGCCGCAGUAAGAC